rnacentral:rRNA from 1 species
GGCCUAACACAUGCAAGUCGAGCGGUAACAGGAAAGUGCUUNCACUUUUGCUGACGAGCGGCGGACGGGUGAGUAAUGUCUGGGGAUCUGCCCGAGGGCGGGGGAUAACCACUGGAAACGGUGGCUAAUACCGCAUAAUGUCGCGAGACCAAAGUGGGGGACCUGAAAGGGCCUCACGCCCUUGGAUGAACCCAGAUGGGAUUAGCUAGUAGGUAGGGUAAUGGCCUACCUAGGCGACGAUCCCUAGCUGGUCUGAGAGGAUGACCAGCCACACUGGGACUGAGACACGGCCCAGACUCCUACGGGAGGCAGCAGUGGGGAAUAUUGCACAAUGGGCGCAAGCCUGAUGCAGCCAUGCCGCGUGUAUGAAGAAGGCCUUCGGGUUGUAAAGUACUUUCAGCGGGGAGGAAGGGUAUGGCCUGAAGAGGGCGAUAGCUUGACGUUACCCGCAGAAGAAGCACCGGCUAAC